GCCGAGCCGGGGGUGCGGGACGGCCGCGGCAGCGCUCACACCGCCCCCACAGGCUCUUCGCUCCGCGCCUCUGCUCCGCUCACCCAGCGAGCCCCAGCUGCCCCUCCCGCACCGUGCCCCCCUCCACCUUUGCCGCCCGCCGGCUCUGAGGGCUUGAACCACCUCCCGAAGGAGGCGGGGAGCGUCCCUGGUCUGAGGAGCGGAGCGCCCGACCCGGAGCGGGAGUUCGAUAGGAAAGACGCGAGCUCUAGAGGAGCAGAGGAAACAUGUAUCCCCACCCAGCUUUCUGGGUUAUAGAAAGGCUGUUCUAUAGUCCUGAAGCAAAGAAGAAGCUGUACACCAAAAGCUGGAAAAGUGGCUUACAUUUUAAGAGGAAUUCUCCAAACCAGAAGAUCCCACCUGUGGUAACACAUACAGCUCAUGGAGUACAAAUUAUGUGCAGUGGGCGUUCAUGUGGAAAAUCUGUAUGGCUAAAGCAUCCUGGCAAACCACAGUUCCUGCUGGGUGAGUUAAGAGUCUGUCUUGAAGGAAUGAGGGAUUCAAAACUCCCCAUGCAGACAGACAAGUCUUUCCCAACGGUUGGACACUGCAUUGCUCCCAUGUGUGCUCCUUACCUCCUGCAAGGUUGGGCUGCUUCAGACUUUGUAGAACGAACACACUCAGUUGCAUGUUCUGAGAGUCUCCACACCAAGAUCUGAUAGGUACAAUCUGUAUAUCUAAUUAAUCUUUGAUUCCUUCAAGUUUAAAUCCAGCAAGUUUUUAAAAGUUUGGGUUUCUGAUCCCCAUUAAAACAUUGUGACUA